GCGCGGGGCGCCCGCUGUGUCACCGCUGCCGCCUCCGCACGGCCCCGGCCGUGAGCCGAGCCCCCGGCCCGCCCCGGGUUGCGGCGUCCCCACCGCCCGCACCCGCUCCUCACGGCAGCGGCACGGAGGCGGCGCCGCACUCGGCGGAGCCCCUGCUCACGGAAAGCCGCUCACGGGUUUGGGGCGCUCAGAGCGUCUGCCCUGGCAUCUCCAUAACGCCGUCUCUGCGCCAGCAGCUGCGAACGAAUCAAUUAGGUUGGAAAAGACCUCCGAGAUCAUCAAGUCAGAGCUUUGACUGAACACCAGCUUGCCAACUAAACCACGGCCCUGAGUGCCAUGUCCAGUCUUAAACCCCUCCAGGGACAGUGACUCCACCAGCUCCCUGGGCAGCCCAUUCCAACGUCCAGUCACU